CGGGAGGCAGAGGUUGCAGGGAGCCGAGAUCGCACCGUUGCACUCCAGCCUGGGUGACAGAGCAAGACCCUAUCUCAAAAAAACAAAAAAGAGUGGUUAAGUGGUUUGGAAUAAACUUUGUCUCAUUAUAGCUGUCCAGUCAAAAAAAAUUAAACUUGAAGAAAAAGGUAAAAAAUUUUACUUAUUAUUAGACUAUACAAGAUUUAUGGACCUAAUAGUUGAAUAAAAUAUCCCCAGAAACAACCUAAUAAGUUACUGA
rnacentral:lncRNA from 1 species